rnacentral:lncRNA from 1 species
UUCACCUUCCCACCCCACUUACCGCCCCAGCGUGUUGCGUUACACUAGACAUGCUAAGUGUGUUCAUACACACCAAAGCAGUUAUGCCAAAAGAGUCGCGGGUCAGAAGGGAUGGCUCCCCUCCCACCCUCUGAUGUAGUCUGGGACCCCUGGCCCAGGCCAGCACCUCCCACUGAGGGCUGCCCUGUCCACGAGCACUUUCUUAUGUCCUAAAAGUCAGCGUGUGGCCACUGAAGGACCUGGAAUUAGAGGUGUGGAUGAUCACAGUAAGAGCUCGGGAGAGGACACAGUGAUUGUAUGCAUGGAGUAG